AGUUCGGUCCCUAUCCGUCGCGGGCGCAGGAAAUUUGAGAGGAGCUGUCCUUAGUACGAGAGGACCGGGAUGGACGCACCGCUGGUGUACCAGUUGUUCUGCCAAGGGCAUCGCUGGGUAGCUAUGUGCGGACGGGAUAAGUGCUGAAAGCAUCUAAGCAUGAAGCCCCCCUCAAGAUGAGAUUUCCCAUUCCGCAAGGAAGUAAGAUCCCUGAAAGAUGAUCAGGUUGAUAGGUCUGAGGUGGAAGCGUGGUGACACGUGGAGCUGACAGAUACUAAUAGAUCGAGGACUUAACCUAU
rnacentral:rRNA from 1 species